rnacentral:rRNA from 1 species
UGGGGAAUAUUGGACAAUGGGGGCAACCCUGAUCCAGCAAUACCGCGUGAGUGAAGAAGGCCUUCGGGUUGUAAAGCUCUUUUACCGGGGAAGAUAAUGACGGUACCCGGGGAAUAAGCUCCGGCUAACUUCGUGCCAGCAGCCGCGGUAAUACGAAGGGAGCUAGCGUUGUUCGGAAUUACUGGGCGUAAAGGGCGCGUAGGCGGUUUUGUAAGUCAGAUGUGAAAGCCCCGGGCUUAACCUGGGAACUGCAUUUGAGACUGCAAGACUAGAGAUCGAGAGAGGAAAGUGGAAUUACGAGUGUAGAAGUGAAAUUCGUAGAUAUUCGUAGGAACACCGGUGGCGAAGGCGACUUUCUGGCUCGACCCUGACGCUAAAGCGCGAAAGCGUGGGGA